UCACAUUGCAUAUCUCUUGUGUGAAGUCGAGAUAUAUUUCAUUAAACUUUUGCCAUACCUCUACAUCGGCUGGAUGCCUCAAUGCAUUAUCUUUUGUUUGCUCCUCUUUAUGCCAUCUCAUAUCCUUCGAUGUCCUUGCUGACAUAAAUAAUUUUUGUAGUCUUGGUAUCAGAGGAAAGUACCACAUCAACUUUUGAGGAAUACAGAUCAAUGUGCCAUCUUUGUUUUGUUUCCAUCUUGAUACAUUACACAUUGUGCACUCAUUUUCGUUGGUAUCCCCCUUCUAAUAGAGCAUGCAAUCGUUAAGGCAUACAUGUACCUUGUUGUA
rnacentral:lncRNA from 1 species